rnacentral:tRNA from 1 species
ACCCCGGUAGCUCAGCUGGACAGAGCAGCGGUUUCCUAAACCGCAGGUCGCGCGUUCAAGUCGCGCCCGGGGUACCA